rnacentral:misc_RNA from 1 species
GGGCAAUUAAAUCUUUAAUCAUGCUAAUUAACAUACAUUAAAAACUGUGCAUUACUAUUAUAUAAUAACCAAUUGCUCAGAAUAAAAUCUUCCUGAUUCCCCUUGCAGAUCAGAGGAAUGUUAAUCUCUGCUCAAUUCACUACAAAUAAUUUAAUUUUCUAAGUAUAUGCUAACACCUAUAUACUAUUGUCUUAUUUAACACCUUUCAUACACCUCCCUCCACUCUGCAUUCUACAAUCUCACGAACCCUUCUCUUCUUCUUUCUGCUCAAACAAGCUUCGAUGUUGGACGUUAAUUGGAUAUCGCUUCAGCAUCCUUGUCGUUGGGAAGAAAACUAACUUAUCUGCCUCAGCCGGAACCCAACUAAAACGAGUCACCAAGUGGUGAAGGAAAACAGAGAGUUCCACUCUAGCAAGCUCGUAACCAGGACAUCGACGAGGUCCACCACCAAAUGGUGUGAAUACGUUAGGUGAGCUUGUCGGUCCUGCACUACUCUGCCACCUCCAUGGAUCAAAUGUACGCGCAUCUUUGAAAUGUUCAUGGUCUAGAUGAACAGCUCGGAGAGAAGCAAAAACCUUCCAACCUUUUGGAAUGGUAUAACCUUUGAUAUUUAUGUCAGUCAUGGCUCUCCUGAACACUCCACUAAUUAUGUUAGCGAUUCGCAGAGUUUCAUUAACAACGCAUUGAGUGAAGGGCAUUGACUUGUAAUCUUCCCAUUGUAAAGACUUAACUUCACCUUUUCUUAACCUGAUCUCCUCGUGCUCUUCCUUAAGUAGUGAUAGAGCACGGGGUGUCUCCGUGAGGAAUUUUACAGCAAGGGUCAUGAUGGUGGAGGUAGUUUCAUAGCCAGCAACAAGCAACGCCAGUAUAAAAUCAACAAUUUCCUCAUCGGAAAAUCCUACUCCUUCAACUCCGUCUCCUUCGAACAAUGCCUCCAACAUAUCAUUCUUUCGUUCUCCUCCGUCUCGUUCUUUUCUCCGAUCUCUCACUACCAAUCCCAACGCCUCCGCUACUUUCGUUCUCGCUUGAAUGGCCUUGCGAUAGGUGGAUGAGAAAAUAGGCAAAGGAAUGCAGAAGAAACCUUCAAUAACAAGCAUAUACUCU